GGAAAUAUAGUAGCAGAUGUUAUUUUGUCAUCCAUGCUCCUACUUUUAUUUUUGUACAACCUGGUUAUUUUUAGCCAACAUUGUCCAUGCCUGCGUAGAGUCGAAAAGAAAAUUUUAAGGUCCUAGUAAAAUAUUCUGAUAUGAAUUUUGCUCUGUUGGACAAACUCAAUCGUGUUAAUUGUUGGCAACAUAGUGGUAGCUAUAGUAAUCAGACAUUUUUUGAAAAGACCAGACAAUAUACAUGCAACCUGCAUAUUGCUUUAUGACAUUGGUACUAAGUGGGUACUACUUAAUCAGUUAAUAUAUUAAGUGUAAUUUGACACAUUGUUGAAUUCCUCAGAUUGGGUUGCUUAUCUAAUAUGCUGUGUUGGGAAAGCACCGACCAUCUAAUAUCUCAUUCCUACAUUUUGGCUUUUGUAGGUCUGAUUUCAACUUGGCUAAAACUUACCUGCUACAACUUCUAUACAUAUGGGUGUUCUGGUGUUGCUAUAUUUAGACCAUCUAUACAUGACUAUUUAAACUAGGUUUUACCUUGGUAAUAUUAAAAAAUUCACUCACUCUCAGUUGGUGUCUUUUUUCAAGUUUUGCCUGAGCCUGACUGCAUAGAUGUUUAAUUUCUCUCUUUUUCCAUGAGUAAGCAUUUUAUUGCAAAGUUCUGCAAGUACAUUCUUUGCAAAUAUGUGGGGUAGAAUAUCAAAUGUCAGAUAACAAAGACAAGUGAACUAAAAGCACUCUGUGCAUUGCUACAGGUAUACUGGUACUUUGUGAAGCAAAUAUGUGGGGUAGAAUAUCAAAUGUCACAUAACAAAGAAAAGUGAACUAAAAGCACUCUGCAUUGCUACAGGUAUACUGGUACAACUUCCAUUACCAAAACACAUUAAUGAAGAGAGAGUUCUUG
rnacentral:lncRNA from 1 species